AACAACAAAAACCUAACUUGUGAAAGGUCUUAAGCUCUUCCUGUUUUUAAGUAGAACUUGGAUUUUGAGAUAUUUUUAAGUUUGUAAAGCUGUUUCUUCUGACAAUAAUAGAGAUAAAAGUAGAGCAUUCAUACUCAAAUCCUUGUUGGUUUGGAAUUUCAAGCAAGGACGUGAAGACAGAAGCACUCUACGAGCACUGGAAGUAUCUGGGAUACUUAUGCCUGCUUAUUUUUUGUGGUUUUUAAGGUUUCUUUCAAAAUGAAGAUUCACUCAGUGGUUGUAGCUGUCUUGGUAAGCCAGGUUCUAGUUUACGAAGUUUUAUUCCAGAAGGAAAAGAGCCACUUCACCUAGAAAUCUUCCAAACAAAUCAACUUUUGCUCUGUGAGUAAUCCAGGCUAUCAAGACUACAUUUUAGCUGAUGGCAAGGCCUCUGAGGCACGGAAAUUCACAGCUGAGUUCUUGGAGAAGGUCCUCGAGCCAUCUGGAUGGCGUGCAGUCUGGCACAUAAUGUGCUCAAGGUGCUGCUUGAGGUGACAGAUGUGGCCAUUUCAGCCUUGAAGGCAGUGGUGCAGCUUGCUGAGCCAUACCUCUGUGAAUCUUGAGCAAGCACUUUCACCUUGGAGUGUAUGAGAGCUCCUCGAGCUGAAGGAACAUCAGUUGCCCUUGCAGGAGCUGGGUGGUGUUUGAUGAUUCUGGAGUGUUUGACUAGACAGCACUUGCAACUGAGCAUGUCAGGUAUGAAGGAGGUAUCUGGUCAGAGAAGGUGUUUUCUGAGGCUGCUUCCCAGAUCCCUAGGGGAUAUGUUCCUGCCAUUCAGCCUUUUUGGCAGUUAUUUCCCCUUGUACAAGCAGGCCCUUUGUCCCUUACCUGAGAAAGAAGGCCCACACCUGGAUUCAUAUUAAUAGGUAUGAUUUAAAAUUUUUUUCAGAUAAAUCUUCUAUCAGAUAGUGCCUGAUACAGAUAAUUCUUUUGGAUUUUCUAUAUAUAAGUAUAUUCACUGAAGAAGCCUACUUUUAGCCAUGUAAAAAUGGACUUAUAUUCUUCUAGUAACUGGAAGACUGGCUAAUGCAAUGAUCAUAAUGUUAAUAAUGUUGCUUGGUGUUUUGUAGUUUUGAAAGUACUUUCCUGUUUCUAUACCAUUAGUCAGCUAACCAGGUUUUGCUAAGCUUAGUUUACAUACUUGAUAAAGAAGCAGAGUGCCUCAGACGCCACUUCCGACAUCUUAUGGACAAUCUCUAAUUUCAUGCAAGAACAUUUAACCCUGGGUGUUCAGUAUUAAGCCAAGCAAUAUAAAUCUAAAGAACUGGUUUCUGUCCAGGACCAAAAGAACUCCCUUAUGUUUCUCUUGCUUUAAAAUAGUCUGUCAGUCGAAGCAUUUGAAGGUGAAGGGAUAACUGAUGAGUUUAGGAAAUUAGAGAGGGUGCCAAUCUCUAUGGGUAUAGAAGUUGGUAGAAAGACAAGUACCUGGAACUGGUAAGAGUUCCUGUUAAGGAAGAGGAGCCUGAUUUUUUGUUUUGUUUUUUGUUUUUUGAGAUGGAGUCUUUGCUUUGUCACCCAGGCUGGAGUUCAGUGGCGUGGUCUCAGCUCACUGCAAGCUCUGCCUCCUGGGUUCACGCCAUUCUCCUGCCUCAGCCUCCCGAGUAGCUGGGACUACAGGUGCCCGCUACCAUGCCCAGCUAAUUUUUUGUAUUUUUAGUAGAGACGGGGUUUCACCGUGUUAGCCGGGUGGUCUGGAUCUCCUGACCUUGUGAUCCGCCUGUCUCGGCCUCCCAAAGUGCUGGGAUUACAGGCGUGAGCCACCAGGCCUGGCCAAGAGGAGCCUGAUUACAUUUACUCUCCAUGUUGAGGACUCAGAUUCUGGUCAGUGACUAGAGAAGGUCAAAUUAUGAGGGUUUUCAUUUGCCCAUUGAUUCAGUAAGUGUGGAGUGCUGGGGUCUCAGUUGAGGGUGGGUAUGACUGGUGCACAAAACCAACACCUUUGUCGGGGAGCUGCCAGUCUACAGGUGGGAGGUGAAGCUGUAUAGAAUAAUCACAUAAGAAUGCAGAUGCGAUUGGAAGGAGGCGUGAGCACCAUGAAGAAUUUCAGAGUGUCCUAAGACUGGGUCAGGUUGCCGUUCUGUGCUUAUUUCUGGAGGAAAUGACAUUCGAAUUUGGGUCUAAAAGGUGAAAGAAGUGGCAGGUGAAAGGGGUGGCGGAGAUGGGGGAACAGGUUCAGGAACUCAGUGGGUUUAAGGAGCU
rnacentral:lncRNA from 10 species